GAUGAAGAACGUAGCGAAAUGCGAUACGUAGUGUGAAUUGCAGAAUUCAGUGAAUCAUCGAAUCUUUGAACGCACAUUGCACCUCUCGGUAUUCCGGGAGGUAUGCCUGUUCGAGCGUCAUUUGUACCCUCAAGCUCUGCUUGGUGUUGGGUGUUUGUUCCGCCUCUGUGUGUGAACUCGCCUCAAAACAAUUGGCAGCCGGCGUACUUGUUUCGGAGCGCAGCACAUUUUGCGAUCCAGAUCAACGUACAGCGGCAUCCAAGAAGCCUUAUUUAACGCUCUUGACCUCGGAUCAGGUAGGGAUACCCGCUGAACUUAAGCAUAUCAAUAAGCGGAUGA
rnacentral:misc_RNA from 1 species